rnacentral:rRNA from 1 species
UGUCUACUGUUAUGAGAGAGAGAGUCAAUACAACACUUAUUUUUUGAUUGUGUUGUUGCAAAACAAAUUUGGAAUUCUAUUUCAGACUUCUUCUCCUGUACCCUGGGAUCUGAUUACCUUUCCAUUGCUAAAUUUUGGCUAGCCAAUAAGAUGCACACUGCUCUAAAUUCUGUUUGUGCAUGUGUAUUAUGGGCUAUCUGGAAACAUAGGAAUUCCUGUAUCUUUAAGAAUGUAAUGUGGAUUGAUUUGAAACAGAUCUAGAACCUGGUGCUGGGGCUCUUGAGGAGAUGGCUGAUCCUUCUCAAAGAUGUAGCUCGACUAAAGAUGGAGGAAUUCAUGACAAGGGUUUCCUUGAUACUGAACACUCCUUUCCAGCUCACAACGGGGUAA